UCAUAGAUCCAUCAUCAUUCAAAGAGGUUAAGGAAAUAUUUUUGUAUUUUUUGAAUAUUAGAAACUAUUUAAAAUGAAUUAAAAAUAACCAGAAAAGAAAAAAUUCACAAAAAAAAUCAAAUGACAAAAAAAAUAUUAAAAAUCAUUUUCAUAAACAAGAAUUAAAAAGGGAAAUAAUGCAAUUGGUCCCAUAUUUUUUGGAUAAAAAAUGAAAGAGAUAUGAAUUUUUGAAAUAAAAGGAAAUAAAAGAAAAUAAAAA
rnacentral:lncRNA from 1 species